GGGCCCAUAGCUCAGCCCGGUAACCUUCACAGAAGUUCAUUGGGCAAUAGAGCACUCGGCUCUUAACCGAGUGGUCGGGGGUUCGAAUCCCUCUGGGCCCA
rnacentral:tRNA from 1 species